rnacentral:misc_RNA from 1 species
AAAUAGAAGUGGCAGAGCUGCU